UGACUAGAACAUAGAGUUCUUGAUGACUAGAAAAAAAAUAUGCUGGUGCCAAAAUCAAUUAAUUGUUGCCAUGUUUCCGGUGAAGUAAGUUGACACUAUUAUCCAAAUCUGUCGUUUGCAUUUUCUUGUGCCAGUAGUAAAUUGUGACCUCUCUUUCUCAAUACUACUGUUUUUCAGGCGAUAACAACAGCUGGCUCCGUACAGCCUAAAGUGUGACAUGGAACUGCUUAACAACAUGUAUAAACUUCUGAAGCAAAAGCACUUUACUGAAAGAGCCAAAGUAUGCUUAUUAAUUUAUUGUCCGCCUCACAAGUGGUUGUAUUUAGGUUACUUUCUUUGCCCUUAGUUUCAGCAUUGACUUAUUGUUUGCAUAUGUGAACAUAUUUCCAUUGUUCUUUGCCCUUAGUUUCAGCAUUGACUUAUUGUUUGCAUAUGUGAACAUAUUUCCAUUGUUCUUUUCGACAACAUGUAGGUUUAUUGAUAUGCCUCGUAUGCAAGCUCCUGACCCACUGCAGAAGUGAAUGUCAAUUUUCCUGUAUGAAAAAUUGCUCUUGUGCAGCAUAUGCCCAUUUGCUAUUUGAUGGUUGCAGCUUAAGGCAUGCUAUCAGACACGCAAGAUGGAGCUAAAACUGUUCGUCUUUGCGCAGCUGCAUCAGAAUUACAAUAUAGCAGUAUCUUAGAUAACAAACAUAUUGCAUGGUAAACAAUUAAUGCCACUGGGCCAGACAGUAUGUGAAGAUUGGGUGAUUCCAAGAAGACAAAAAGCAUCACUGAUAGUUUAUUAAAUCUCAAGUGUCAUGCUCUUUCUUUUUUGCAGGUCACAAAAUGCUUUGGAUAGCAUAUGUAUUUCUGUCAGUUGCAUUUCAUGUCUUUCGUCUCGUCUAUUUUAUUUGGAUUAGGAGAUGGAAAAUAAAGAUGUAAUGGAACUUUGGCAGAGCGAAGACACAUACUCUCACUUUAUGAUGCUUUCCAUUUCACAGAUAGAAAAUGCCACAGAUAAUUUCUCAACUGAAAAGAAGAUUGGAGGAAGGUUUGCCCCUAUGUACAAGACUAAUUGUGUUCUUUAGUUUUGUUUGUUACUAUGUUUUCUAGAAUGUCAAGGCGGAAAGGUGCUGAUUAUUAUAAUUCAUGGUUUAAUUGUUCGGACUUGAGCUUCGGGGGGUAGGGGGUGGGGGGCAUGUUCUUCAUAUUACUUUCUGUUAGAUUGUUGUUUGGUUGUCCAUAUAGAACUACAGAUGCAAAAGGAGAGGUGCAAAUUUGGAGAUUGACCAAUGAUAUGUUAUUUAAUUUGUGUUUAUUUACAAGAACUCUACUUGAUUGUUGCAGAUAAAUUGUGAGAAGAUGAUGCUUUUAAGAUAUGAUCUGCAUUUGCAACUAGUGUCUUGUUCUAAAAAUGUCUCCAAUCAUCCUUAGUUAAUGUCAUGAGCACAGCUCCAGUCAUGUUACUUUCCUUGUGGACUAAACUUUGCUCAGCUAAUGUUAUUUUA